rnacentral:rRNA from 1 species
CAGUAGCCGCGGUAAUACGAACCGUGCGAACGUUAUUCGGAAUCACUGGGCUUAAAGCGCGUGUAGGCGGUUUGUUAAGUCUGUCGUGAAAUCCCCGGGCUCAACCUGGGAAUGGCGAUGGAUACUGGCAAGCUAGAGUGUGUCAGAGGAUGGUGGAAUUUCCGGUGUAGCGGUGAAAUGCGUAGAGAUCGGAAGGAACAUCAGUGGCGAAGGCGGCCAUCUGGGACAACACUGACGCUGAAGCACGAAAGCGUGGGGAGCAAACAGGAUUAGAUACCCCAGUAGUCCCUGUCUCUUAUAC